rnacentral:rRNA from 1 species
AUGAGUCGCACCAGUUGGAACUGUCGGGGGCUUGGGAACCCCGAGACAGUUCGUGAGCUUCGUAGUAUUGUGAGGCUGGAAGGUCCCUCUCUGCUCUUUGUUACAUAAACAAAAAUAAAAGCAAAAAGAGUAGAGGAUUUGAGGUUUUUGUUAGGUUUUGGAGGUUGUUUUGCUGUAUACAGUGUUGGCCUUAGUGGCGGCAUUGGUCUUUUUUGGUCUAAUGAUGUUUCAGUAGAACUGAAAAUUUAUGGUCGUUGUCACAUUGAUGUUUUGGUUAGUAAUAAAAUUCCUGGUUCUCCAAAUUGGAGGUUCACAGGUUUUUACGGAUCACCGCGUGCUGAAGAUAGAAAUGAUAGUUGGCGGUUAUUCCGUACUCUUUAUAAUGUGCCACAUGCUGCAUGGAUGUGCAUGGGGGAUUUUAAUGAGACUAUGUUCUCCAAUGAACACUUCAGCAGAUCUGUUCGUCCUGAGCGACAGAUGCAAGCUUUUUGA